UCCUUCUGAAACUCCAAACCUUCUUCCCUUCGAUUUCUCCGCCUCAACUAUCCGCCUUCAACCCUACUCCAGCACUAGUAAGUCACUGUUUUCGAUCUCUGGACCCUUUAUAAUCCUAUUCAAACUCCUGGUUUCCAGUUCAUUGCUUGAAUUCUCGCAAUGCUGAUCACUUGAUACCUGUUUUUGUUUUUCUGCUCUUCCGCUUCAGAGCCCAGAACUGAAGACACUUUCAGGAUUUAAAUUGGUGGACUGUUGGGGCCAUAUAGCUGUCCAAAUAUGAAUGCCUAUAUUGUUGGUGUCCUUGUUCCCCUCGUUGUUACUGUUCUACUUAGGAAUGCGAAGAAUUCAAAGAAAAGGGGGUUGCUCGCUGAUGUUGGUGGGGAACCUGGGUAUGCUAUCCGGAACCAUCGGUUCACUUCCCCAGUGCAAACAGCAUGGGAAGGUAUCUCAACUCUUGCAGAACUUUUCGAGCAUUCAUGUGAGCAGUACCGAGAUAAGUACUUACUUGGAACUAGGGAGUUGAUUUCAAGGGAGGUUGAAGUCACUGAAGAUGGAAGGUCCUUCGAGAAGCUUCAUUUGGGAGACUACGAGUGGCUAACCUAUGGUAGAGCAUUUGAAGCUGUGUGCAACUUUGCAUCUGGUUUGGCUCAACUUGGUCACAGGAAGGAAGAACGUGCAGCAAUCUUUGCUGACACAAGAGAAGAAUGGUUCAUUGCAUUGCAGGGUUGCUUUAGGCGCAAUGUCACUGUUGUGACUAUCUAUGCAUCUUUGGGGGAGGAGGCUUUAUGUCAUUCAUUAAAUGAGACAGAGGUUACUACUGUGAUAUGUGGAUGCAAAGAACUUAAAAAACUCAUAGAGAUAAGUGAACAACUUGACACAGUUAAACGUGUGAUAUGUAUGGAUGAUGAGAUCCCCUCUAAUGCCUCAUACGUUGAGCAGAGCAAAAGCUGGACAAUUACCUCAUUUGGUGAUGUGGAAAGUCUUGGCAGAGAAAAUCCUGUUGAUGCCGACUUACCACUUCCAGCUGAUAUUGCAGUUAUAAUGUACACAAGUGGGAGUACUGGAUUGCCUAAGGGUGUAAUGAUGACACAUGCCAAUGUCCUAGCUACAGUUUCUGCUGUCAUGACAAUUGUUCCUGGCCUUGGAAGCAAGGAUAUUUACAUGGCAUACCUACCCAUGGCUCAUAUCCUUGAAUUAGCUGCUGAGAAUGUGAUGGCUGCUGUUGGAAGUGCUAUAGGAUAUGGAUCACCUUUGACGCUUACGGAUACAUCAAGCAAGAUAAAAAAAGGAACAAAGGGGGAUGCCACUGUGCUGUUGCCAACUUUAAUGACAGCUGUCCCAGCAAUUCUUGACCGUGUCCGUGAUGGGGUACUCAAGAAGGUAAAUGCAAAGGGUGGAUUAGCAAAGAAGUUUUUUGACGUGGCAUAUACUCGUAGGUUGUCUGCGGUUAAUGGAAGUUGGUUUGGGGCUUUUGGCCCGGAAAAGGCCAUUUGGAAUUUUCUUGUGUUUAAAAAGGUCAGAGCAAUUCUGGGAGGUCGCAUCCGCUUUGUGCUGUCUGGAGGUGCUCCUCUCUCCGGUGAUACUCAGAGAUUCAUCAACAUUUGUCUUGGUGCUCCAAUAGGUCAAGGUUAUGGUCUUACUGAGACUUCUGCUGGUGCAACAUUUUCUGAGGUCGAUGAUACAUCUGUUGGUCGUGUUGGAGCUCCACUUCCUUGCUCAUUCAUUAAGUUAAUUGAUUGGCCUGAAGGUGGAUAUCUAACCAGUGAUUCACCAAUGCCUCGUGGGGAGAUAGUGGUUGGUGGUCCAAAUGUUACAGUUGGAUAUUUCAAAAAUGAAGAAAAAACAAAAGAAUUAUACAAGGUCGAUGAGAGAGGAAUGAGAUGGUACUAUACAGGUGACAUAGGGCAGUUUCAUGCUGAUGGUUGCCUUGAGAUAAUUGAUCGCAAAAUAGACAUAGUCAAACUUCAGCAUGGGGAGUAUGUCUCCCUAGGCAAGGUUGAAGCCGCUCUUCUUGUUAGCCCCUAUGUCGACAAUAUCAUGUUGCAUGCUAAUCCCUUUCAUAGUUACUGUGUGGCUCUGCUGGUAGCUUCUCAGCAUACGGUGGAAGAUUGGGCUUCCAAGCAAGGAAUUCCUUUUACUGACUUUGCAGACUUGUGUGAGAAAGCCGAAACGAAGAAGGAACUUCUUGCAUCAAUCCAAAAGGAAGCAAAGCGGGCACAGUUGCAGAAGUUUGAGAUUCCCAUAAAAAUCAAAGUGCUUUCUGAACCGUGGACUCCUGAAUCUGGUCUAGUCACGGCAGCUUUCAAGAUCAAGAGAGAGAUUAUUAGAAAGGCUUUCUCUGAAGAACUCUCUGAAUUAUAUGCCUCAUGAUUCUUGGGAAAACUUGGGCUGGUUACUUUUUCCUUCUUUUAAUUGCCGCCGGGAUGAAGAGGAGACGAGUUUCAGAAGGUAGUCCCUAGCAAAAUCUGAAUAAGUAGUUGAAGGAAAAGGAAGUCAAGAAGAUCGCGGAUGCGUUACCACAGAUGAAUUGAACAGAAUCACACGAUACAGCUUAUCCAGUCAAGCUUCCAAAUGUAUCUUAAAUUUUGUGCUUGGAAAAAGGGAGGAACAAUGUAGACAAUACAAAUGUGAGGAACAGGUUACUGUGGAAGUAGGGGAAAGAGGCAAAGAGCUACCAUCCAAAAACAAGUAAAUUCUCCCUGUUUGAAAAUUGCAAUGGAGUUGUCUUGCAUGUUCUGACAAGGCAAGCUGUGUAUUCAUGCAGUUGGUGCAAGUCUUUUCUUCUUUCUUUUCCGUUUCAAUCGAUGAGCCUACCACCAGCAGCCUUGGCAAAAUACUUGCAAGAGCAAUUCAAACAUGAUUUUUUUUGAAUAUUAUUCCCAUGUACUACUGCAGAUAACUGAAAAGGUUCUAAAGAAAGGAAGAUUAUGGUACAGUGAAAGAGGACUGGGUAUGGGGGUCGGUUGGGAAAGGGGUUCAGACUUUCAGUCUGGAAAAGACUACACAAUUAGAUGGCAAGAGGGAGACCCACAUCCAACUCUAGGUUCAUGAUUACGAGCCUGAAGCCUGAAGCCUGAAGCCUAACCCAUUUGGCAAAUCCCCAUCCCCCACCCCCACCCGUCUCCCCAAUGUGAACAUUGGAUUAUUUGUUUCCUUCAGUACUUCGAGCCUUCAACGAUGGUUUCAAGGACAGUCCCAUUGCCGUCCUUUCUGCCUUUUCCAUAUAUCCAUACUGAAAAAUAUUGUUUCUAUUUUGUAUUUUGUCAUCCCCAAUCACUUACAAUAAGUACUUGUACUUGGAGUGGUUUAAUUUUUAAGCAAUUAGCUUAUAAUAUUGGCCACUUAAAACGUA